GACGAACGCUGGCGGCGUGCUUAACACAUGCAAGUCGAACGGAAAGGCCUCUUUCGGGGGGUACUCGAGUGGCGAACGGGUGAGUAACUCGUGCGUAACCUGCCCUUGACUUUGGGAUAACUUCAGGAAACUGGGGCUAAUACCGGCUACGUGCUCCUGCUGCAUGGUGGGGGUUGGAAAGUUUCGGCGGUUGGGGUUGGUCUCGCGGCUUAUCAGCUUGUUGGUGGGGUAUGGGCUUACCAAGGCUUUGCCGGGUAGCCGGCCUGAGAGGGUGACCGGCCACAUUGGGACUGAGAUAGGGCCCAGACGCGUACGGGAGGCAGCAGUGGGGAAUAUUGCACAAUGGGGGGAAGCCUGAUGCAGCAACGUCGUGGGCGGGAUGACGGCCUUCGGGUUGUAAACCGUGUUCGCUCAUGACGAAGCUUUGUGUGACGGUAGUGGGUAAAGAAGCACCGGCUAACUACGUG
rnacentral:rRNA from 1 species